rnacentral:rRNA from 1 species
CAGUGCCGCAGCUAACGCAUUAAGCACUCCGCCUGGGGAGUACGACCGCAAGGUUGAAACUCAAAGGAAUUGACGGGGGCCCGCACAAGCGGUGGAGCAUGUGGUUUAAUUCGAAGCUACGCGAAGAACCUUACCAGGUCUUGACAUCUUGCGCUAACCUAAGAGAUUAGGCGUUCCCUUCGGGGACGCAAUGACAGGUGGUGCAUGGUCGUCGUCAGCUCGUGUCGUGAGAUGUUGGGUUAAGUCCCGCAACGAGCGCAACCCUUGUUACUAGUUGCCAGCAUUCAGUUGGGCACUCUAGUGAGACUGCCGGUGACAAACCGGAGGAAGGUGGGGACGACGUCAGAUCAUCAUGCCCCUUAUGACCUGGGCUACACACGUGCUACAAUGGCCGGUACAAAGAGCAGCUAACCCGCGAGGGUGUGCAAAUCUCUUAAAGCCGGUCUCAGUUCGGACUGCAGUCUGCAACUCGACUGCACGAAGUCGGAAUCGCUAGUAAUCGCGGAUCAGCAUGCCGCGGUGAAUACGUUCCCGGGCCUUGUACACACCGCCCGUCACACCAUGGAAGUUUGCAAUGCCCAAAGUCAGUGGCCUAACCAUUUUGGAGGGAGCUGCCUAAGGCAGGGCAGAUGGCUGGGGUGAAGUCGUAACAAGGUAACC